AUACACUCACUAUUUGAACACUCGCAUGAAGAUACAAGACAUUUGCACACCAGACAAGUGAACGUGAGACACGGAGAGAUUUUUGGACUUAGUAGAGAGAUACUACUGUCUGGCGUCUGCUCAAAAGGAAAAAGAAGAAAGAAAAUCCUGAAGUCCCCCAAGAUUCGUCCAAACGCCCUCUUCUUCAAGUCUCCAAAACAAAAAAAACCUAGCAGCCAUACACGACCAAACAACCCGUCACACUCACUAACCGGACCAUCCUCACGUCCAAGCAACCACCAGCUUUGUUGAACCACCAGUAGCCAUCUCAAACACCCCAUCAACGAACACAACUUCAUCUCCUUCGCCACUGGAAAUCGCUGGAAACCGACGACGGAAUUUUGUUUUGUCAAUAGUGCUCGUUUGAAACUCGUGGAGAGCUCGUUAGAGGCCGCUAGCACUGUUUGUGGGGUCUAUUUUAGUUGUGUGUCGAGCAGUAGCAGUUCGAUGGAGUACGGGGCCUAAAGCUAAAUCGUAAUUUGAGGCCUUUGAAGGCAAAAAUGUUAAUGCUAUUUAUUUAUUAUAGUUCAACCAAAUUCUCCCUAAAAAAUAGUAUAAUGUUUGGAACUAUUCCAUAAUGAUUAUUGACAUAAUAAAUAAUUUAUCACAAGAUUUACUUAUCAUUAUAAAGAAUAAUAGAAGUAAUUAUUUAAAAUACAUUUAUUAUAUAUAUCCAACAUGAAUAAAAUUUGGGGCCCUAUAUUUUUGGCGGCCUAAAGCCGUGACUUUAGUUGCCUUACGUUGAGCCACCUCUGGUGUCGAGGUACUAUCGUUGGUUUUUCGUUCGAGGUCGCCGGUUUGAGGUUUCCGUGGUCUUGGGUUGAUGGUUUUGUUAGUGUUCAAGAUAUAUCCGUACUCUCUUCUUCAAUGUACUCGUCUUGAGUUUCCUCCAUUAAUCUAAAGCAUAAAGGUUAAUUACUUACUCUAAAUGUUCUCUUUGUUUCAUCGUUAUUAAGCUUCAAUGAUUAUGAUUGUCGUGUGAUUACUUUGAUUGUUUCAUUGUCAGUUAAAGUUUGCUUAAGUUGGUUGAUUUAUAUUGAA
rnacentral:lncRNA from 1 species